CACGUAGUUAGCCGUGGCUUUCUGGUUAGAUACCGUCAAGGGAUAAACAGUUACUCUUAUCCUUGUUCUUCUCUAACAACAGAGUUUUACGAUCCGAAAACCUUCUUCACUCACGCGGCGUUGCUCGGUCAGACUUUCGUCAUUGCCGAAGAUUCCCUACUGCUGCCUCCCGUAGGAGUCUGGGCCGUGUCUCAGUCCCAGUGUGGCCGAUCACCCUCUCAGGUCGGCUAUGCAUCAUGGCCUUGGUAGGCCGUUACCCUACCAACUAGCUAAUGCAGCGCGGGCCCAUCUAUCAGUGACACCCGAAAGCGUCUUUCAUGUCCAGGCCAUGUGGUCUAGAUAAUUAUGCGGUAUUAGCACCUGUUUCCAAGUGUUAUCCCCCUCUGAUAGGCAGGUUGCCCACGUGUUACUCACCCGUCCGCCACUCCUCUUCUUCCGGUGAGUGCAAGCACUCGGUGGAAGUAGAAGCGUUCGACUUGCAUGUAUUAGGCACGCCGC
rnacentral:rRNA from 1 species